UCCUGACACAGACGAAAUUGUACCAUCAGCAAUACACACUUUUUCCUGACCUGAGGGAUUAUACUCUGAAAAUAAAUUAGAGGAGCCAGACAUAUGGUCAGAAGCACCAGAAUCAAUAAUCCAUGGUAUAGUCGUAUGAGAUAGCAAUGCACAUGGGGAGGAAGCCAAGUUAUCUGAAUUGGCAAACGAAGAAGAGGGUGCACCUGUAGCAGAAAUGGAGGCUCGACGAUCUAGCAAGUGGCGAAGAGCAAUCUCAAAAUCCAAGGCAGAUAACCCCGAAACAUCGCCAGCGGAAGAGACAACUGGAGAUGAUGGGGGCUGCUUAACAGUGUCUGAAAGAUGGACUCGUGCAUUGACCCCGUGGCCUCUAGUACCAAACUGACACCCCCCCCGAGUACCAGGACGAUCGCCUCGGCCACCAGAGGGAGUUCAAUGCAGCUUCCAACAAGUCUCUCGUGUGUGGCAAGGUCGACAAUAGUAGUCAGAGUAAAGAUUAUCCGUCUCAGAGGAAGGACGAGUACCACGAGUCACACAGUCGCCAUCGCGAGAGGGUACAAAAACCAAGGCCGAGCGAUCAGUAAUAGCAAAAGGAAGCAUCGCAGAACGGCAACUCUCCUCAUUCUACACAAAAGCAAAGGCUUCCUAGAGAGAAGGAAGCACAUCCAUGCCAAGUACUCUGCUCCGAACCAAAUCAUACUCCACAUUGAGGCCUUUCAAGAACUUGAAGACUUGCUCUUACGCCACAAACUUCCGGUAACCAACAGAAUCAGUGGGACGGACAGACUUGUAAUCCUGAAGAUGAUCAAGCCACUUCCAUUCAUUGCUAAGAAAGGUAAAAUACUGGAGGAUAAUCUGCUCACCUUGUACCGACCUUUCAAUGGAGCGACGUAACUCAAAAGCCUGUGAGAAGUUACACUUCCUAGAAUAAGUAGUUUCUACGGCCUCCCAAAUAUCCCGAGCAGUGUCCAUAGACAAGGCAACCAUCUCCAAUCUCCAGAACCAUAGAAUGGAUCAACCAGCCCAUAAUCAGAGAAUUGGUGAUCUCCUACUGGUCAUAAUGAGGGUCGGUGAUACUGGGUGCCUGAACCCGCCCAUCAACAUAUCCCAUCUUCCCUUUGCUCUUCAAGAAAAUAGUCAGACUCUGCGACCAAGGUUUUCAAAGGCGUAUACGAGGCUCGACUUGAGGCGAGGCGUACGGAAAACGCACAAAUGCGUUCUUUUUGGGGCGAGACCCCAGCUAUGCGUACGUGUCAAAAUCAGAGGCGUAAACAUUUGUCGCGCUUUAUGUGCUUUUCACGCUUUCGACAGCGAGGCGCAAGCCAUUGAGGAGUUUGAUUUCAAAAAUCAAAAAAGGAAAGAUAGAGUAGUUGAAGGAAAAUUGCUAUAAAUGAGUUC